UCCAACCACUGCCCCUUCCUCCGCCCCGCCCUUGGUGUCCUCCUGUGCGCCCGCCGCCCCACGCCUCGCGACGCCGUCGCCCCCCCCCCCCCGGCCCCCGCGCAGCCAUGGCGCCGACGGUGGGGCUGAAGCGGUCCGGCACGACGCAGACGAUCGCGGUGCCGCCGCCGCCGCAGGACGCGCGGUUCGCGGUGCGCGAGGCCGUGCGGUCCACGAUCGCGACGCCGCCGCCCGCCGAGGCGCCGGGUGCUCCCGCGAGGGUGGCCCCUGCGCCCGCACUGGAGGGGUUCCUGUGCCUGGAGGAGGUGGACGGGAGGCGGUGGAAAUACGUGGUGGAUGAAGCCCCGGGGAAAGGGAAGGGGGGCAGGGGCGGGUCUGCCGUCCCAUUGGGGGCCUCCGUCAGGGCCGUGCCGCUCCAGUCGCCGCUGCCGCCCGCCGAGGAAAUAAUGGCAUUCGUAAGAUCAUACGUUGUGCCUGAAGGGUUUCCGGAUAGUGUUACUCCUUCAUACGUCCCAUACAUGACCUGGAGAGCACUGAAGCAUUUCUUUGGUGGAGCAAUGGGGGUGUUUACAACAAGAACCUUGCUGAGCUCCGUUGGAGUCUCUCAAAGCAAGGUAACCCCAGGUGCCAUUGCAAUCAACUGGAUCCUCAAGGAUGGAGCUGGGCGUGUUGGAAAAAUGCUUUUUGCACGACAAGGAAAGAAGUUCGACAAUGAUCUAAAACAGCUCCGCUUUUCUAGCGAUCUCUUGCUGGAGAUAGGAGCUGGGAUAGAGUUAGCUACUGCAGCCUUUCCUCAGUUCUUCUUGCCUAUGGCUUGCGUAGCAAAUGUUGUAAAGAAUGUCGCUGCUGUUACGUCAACCUCAACCCGGACUCCAAUCUACAAGGCCUAUGCAAGAGGAGAAAAUAUUGGAGAUGUGACCGCUAAAGGCGAAUCUGUUGGGAAUAUUGCAGAUCUGCUGGGCACUGGUUUGAGCAUCUAUAUCACAAAGCGGAACCCAUCAUUGGUUACUUCAUUUGCCCUCCUGUCAUGUGGAUAUCUCAUGAGUUCAUAUCAAGAGGUGAGGUCCGUUGUGCUGAAUACCCUAAACAGGGCAAGAUUUACCGUUGCAGUGGAUUCCUUUAUUAAGACAGGGUAUGUCCCCUCAUUGAAGGAAGGGAACUCACAGGAGACACUAUUUAUUCAUCCUUGGCGGCAUGAGCCAGUCGCAAUAGGAUCGCGAUUUGGAGAAGCAUUUCAAGAACCUGUUUCAUUUGUUGCCACAAGACCUUUGUUUGAGGAUGAGAGAUACAUGGUAACAUAUAACCCAACGAAGGAUAAAGUAUAUGCUUUGCUCAAGGACCAAGCAAAGCCAGAUGAUGUUCUCAAAGCUGCUUUCCAUGCUCAUGUGUUGCUGCAUUUUAUUAAUGCAUCACACGCACGUAAGCGGAUGAACACCAACCGGUCGGAUCACUACGCGAACCUGCAUCCACGAAACAUGGAUUUUCUGGCACACAUUGCAGAAUCUUGCAAACUUGUGUCUGCCUCUUAUGGAACUUUCAAGAAGAAAGCAAGAGAACAGGGCUGGAUAAUGUCAGAAUCGCUGCUUAACCCUGGGAAGGCUCGCUUAUGUGUCAGAGGACUCCAAUGAUUUUUCUAUUUUCCGUUUGUCAUCGACAGGAUGAUACCAUCUCUAGCUGUCAGGCUAACUUUCGGACGGGAUGCUGAUGAGUUGUUAGUAGCUGGGGUAGAUCAGUGAGCCUAACAUCCCAGACGCCCCUCUAACUUUGAUAGUUACUGCAGCUACCAAGAUCUGGUGAUGUCAAAAAGAUGUAACUCCAGGACCCAAAAAAUAAAGCCAGGGAGGAUAUGCUCACGCUGACCCAUCAGAAGACGGAGGGUGACCUCCAACUGUUAGCUGCACCAAAAGUAGGUAGAGGGACCGUAUAUUUAUGUUUGCUCAUAGUGUCUAGAUGAUCGAGGACUUCUAACUGCAACCGGUUCCGUAUGGGUGCUCGUUGUCGGCUGUGGCCUGUGGAGUCAUUUUCAGAACCAUGGAAGAGCUGUUUCUUUUUCGCUGACCAGCUGCGCUUUAGAGUUGUUUCUUGUAAAUUCAACUAGCUGAUACACCGUGUCUUGUAUGUCUUUGUACAGUGCUUGUUGUAAUAAUCGGAAGAAAUCGUUGUUAUUCCAUCUGUUCAAGGCU